rnacentral:tRNA from 1 species
GGGCUCGUAGUCUAGUGGUUAUGACGCCGCCCUUACAAGGCGGAGAUCGGCGGUUCAAUUCCGCCCGAGCCCA